GUUAUAUGGUCAAGUGAAGAAGCGCAUACGGUGGAUGCCUUGGCAGUCAGAGGCGAUGAAAGACGUGGUAGCCUGCGAAAAGCUUCGGGGAGUCGGCAAACAGACUUUGAUCCGGAGAUCUCUGAAUGGGGGAACCCACCUAGGAUAACCUAGGUAUCUUGUACUGAAUCCAUAGGUGCAAGAGGCGAACCAGGGGAACUGAAACAUCUAAGUACCCUGAGGAAAAGAAAUCAACCGAGAUUCCCUUAGUAGUGGCGAGCGAACGGGGAUUAGCCCUUAAGCUUCAUUGAUUUUAGCGGAACGCUCUGGAAAGUGCGGCCAUAGUGGGUGAUAGCCCCGUACGCGAAAGGAUCUUUGAAGUGAAAUCGAGUAGGACGGAGCACGAGAAACUUUGUCUGAACAUGGGGGGACCAUCCUCCAAGGCUAAAUACUACUGACUGACCGAUAGUGAACCAGUACCGUGAGGGAAAGGCGAAAAGAACCCCGGAGAGGGGAGUGAAAUAGAACCUGAAACCGUAUGCGUACAAGCAGUGGGAGCCUACUUGUUAGGUGACUGCGUACCUUUUGUAUAAUGGGUCAGCGACUUAUAUUCAGUGGCAAGCUUAACCGUAUAGGGUAGGCGUAGCGAAAGCGAGUCUUAAUAGGGCGUUUAGUCGCUGGGUAUAGACCCGAAACCGGGCGAUCUAUCCAUGAGCAGGUUGAAGGUUAGGUAACACUGACUGGAGGACCGAACCCACUCCCGUUGAAAAGGUAGGGGAUGACUUGUGGAUCGGAGUGAAAGGCUAAUCAAGCUCGGAGAUAGCUGGUUCUCCUCGAAAGCUAUUUAGGUAGCGCCUCAUGUAUCACUCUGGGGGGUAGAGCACUGUUUCGGCUAGGGGGUCAUCCCGACUUACCAAACCGAUGCAAACUCCGAAUACCCAGAAGUGCCGAGCAUGGGAGACACACGGCGGGUGCUAACGUCCGUCGUGAAAAGGGAAACAACCCAGACCGCCAGCUAAGGUCCCAAAGUUGUGGUUAAGUGGUAAACGAUGUGGGAAGGCUUAGACAGCUAGGAGGUUGGCUUAGAAGCAGCCACCCUUUAAAGAAAGCGUAAUAGCUCACUAGUCGAGUCGGCCUGCGCGGAAGAUGUAACGGGGCUCAAACCACACACCGAAGCUGCGGGUGUCACGCAAGUGACGCGGUAGAGGAGCGUUCUGUAAGCCUGUGAAGGUGAGUUGAGAAGCUUGCUGGAGGUAUCAGAAGUGCGAAUGCUGACAUGAGUAACGACAAUGGGUGUGAAAA
rnacentral:rRNA from 1 species